GAAUUAAAACUAAUUUGCGAUGCUACCUUUGGUUGCGUUCGGAAAUAUAAAGCGGUUCUCUCCGCGGACUAUCCUCAGGUGUUCGUGAAGGUUCGCUCGUUUCUUUCCUUUCGCACUCGCAGCCCUAAUUUCUCCAUCGUAUUCUCCCAUCUCAGCUGGAAGCAUAGAUCUCGAUGGAUGCACAGCAAGCCAAGGCCAAGCUUUUAGCUGUCGAGAAGGAACUUGGUCAUGCAGUUCGUGUUUUUACAAACACUGCGAGUUUUGCAAACCCAGGCGAAAUUUCUUCUUCAUCUACAGAGGAACCUGAUGAAUUUUAUGAAUUUACCCCUGAUGACUAUUACCGGAUCAUGUCAGAUAGAAUUGGAGCACAGUCACAAAUACUAAAGACCCGCAAAAUGAGAGAGGCAGAGAAAGCAACCCGCAGAGCAAAAGUAACCAAGGCUGUUAUCAGGGUUCGUUUCCCUGAUAAGUAUGUUCUUGAGGCAAAAUUUCAACCAUCGGAGACACUCCAAAGUUUGAUGGAUCUUUUGAAGAAAGUAGUUGCUCGCCCUGAUCUACCAUUCUAUAUAUAUACGACUCCUCCAAAGGAACGUGUUAAAGAUACAUCAAAGGAUUUCUACUCGGCUGGCUUUGCUCCAGGAGCUAUUGUCUAUUUCUCUUACGAUCUUCCAAAAGAUUUGGAGUCUGAUGAUUCAAAGGAAGGACCUUAUCUUCGUGAUGAUAUCCUAUCUUUGAAUGGUUUGGAUCUGCCUAUCGAUCGAGUUGAUCCUGCUCAUCCUGAAGAAGAGCUAAAGGGAGUGCAGAUUCCAUCUUCUGCUCCUGAUCCUAAGCCACCUGCUAAGAAACCAGCCAAGCCUAAAUGGCUUAAGCUGUAAAUGGUCCUCAGCUCCUUCAUAUGCCUGGGCCCAUCGAGCCGAUGACCAAAAUCAUUUAUCGACAAGGUAUAGUGUGAUAUCAUAUUAGUUCAACCUUCACUCAUGGCAUCUGGUGAAACAUCAUGUUCUCUGGGUGAGUGAUAGCUCCUCUUUUCAGUCUGGUGGAAACAAAGUGCACCCCAAGAUUCUUCCUGGUUACAGCUACGAGUUUGGUGAUCUAUUCUCAAAGUCUUUGCAGCUCAAGCAUCUAUGAGAUCAAAAAAGCAGGGAGACAAAGAUAAGAAGAAGAUGAUAAAAGAGAUCUCCGUAGUUAGGCAAAGAGAUUGUUCAUUGCUCACUGAAUUGUGGCAGGCCAUGGCCUGCAUGCCAUGUGCUCCUUUGAGCUCUAAGUUUGGACUCAGGACCAUGAAUUAUCUCUUCUUUUCUUCCUUGCAUGGUACAUCAUCUUCUCAUAUCUGUAUCUUCUUCUCGGUCUAAUUCGACAGCUACAACAGCUUUAUUCAUGCUGGCAAAGAAAUUGAACAUUGAGCUAAACUGAGAUUGACCUUGUAGAAUCAAUCUCCGCAUACUCUGUAAGUUGAGGGAACUAUGCCUCUUGAUUAUCCAUGGUCGAUAAUGUUGCUGAACCUUUCAA